UACGAAGGGGGCUAGCGUUGUUCGGAUUUACUGGGCGUAAAGCGCACGUAGGCGGCUUGUUAAGUCAGGGGUGAAAUCCUGGAGCUCAACUCCAGAACUGCCUUUGAUACUGGCAAUCUUGAGUCCGGAAGAGGUGAGUGGAACUCCUAGUGUAGAGGUGGAAUUCGUAGAUAUUAGGAAGAACACCAGUGGCGAAGGCGGCUCGCUGGUCCGGUACUGACGCUGAGGUGCGAAAGCGUGGGGAGCAAACAGG
rnacentral:rRNA from 1 species